UAGUCAUUUCUCCGUCCUCCAAACACUUCGCUCAAAAGCAGAAACCAACCUACAGUUUCGGCGGCCGCAAAAAUCUUCGGCUUUGAGAUUACGGUGGUAAUGCUAUUCUCUACUAUUAUUCUCGUCUUGUUUCUUGGUCUCGAGGGUAUUUCAUGGAGGACAUGAUGCGGUUUUAUGAUAUUAUUAUUUUACAGUAUUUCGAUGUGUGAUCGGUAUAUUCUUCUGCUAGAGAUAUAGCUUGAUGGGUUGAUCUGAUUCCAGGCAUUUUUUUUUUCUUUUUCUUUUUGAUCCUAGGAUACUUGAGGUUUAUUUGAUUUUUUUUUUUUUUUAUGAUCUUUUAUGUAAGAUUACUUUAAUGGAUUUGAAUUGAGGAGUUAAUGUUAAAUGGCAAUGCGCUUAUGGACGGUCAGAUGCUGAUUCGAACUUGCACAUCAGCACAUAACACAAUCAUAAGCAAAAGAAACCAUUGCCACUCACAAUCCCUCCUUGAAAGCAAUCAAUUUCAAGGAGAUUACACUUGGUGGCAUUCAUUUUAACUUCAGUUUAUGGCUCUUGUUUUUUUUUUUAAUUUUUAAUUUUUAAUUUUGUAAUGUGAGUAGAAUUAAGCUGAUCCUGGUUGAUUGGAGAAGCUUAGUUUUUCUUAUUUUUGAUAGAUGUUUAUGUAACCUUUUAUCUUCUAAGAAAAAAAUUGAUGGAUUUUGGGAAAUCUUAAACAAGCACAUAAAAAAUGUAACAAUACCAUUAACUAAAGAAAUUAAUUGCCACUCAAAAACCCUUUUUGAAACAAAUCAAUUUCUAAGGGAGUCCACCCGAAAUCCUGGUCAUUGGGAAAUAUUGCUUAAGUUAAUUUUUAUCUCUGCCAUUUUUUUACUCACAAAGAUACUCGUAGUUCAUAUUUAAUAUUUUUCAUUUUUAAUCAUUAUGUUCAUGUUAAUGUUCUUUGUAUUUGUUUUUUGGAUACUCCAUAUACUUAUUCAUUGGGAAGUAAAGGAUUGUGCUUAUGGAAGGUCAAGUGCUGAUCUGAAACAGACACAUCAGCACAACACAAUAUCAUAAGCUAAAGAAACCAUCUGCCACUUAUAAUCCCUCCUUCUCAAGAACUCUGCUAGAAAUAGCUAUGGAAUCAAAAUACAAAAGGGAUCGGGCACUUAUCUGCUAAAUUCUGCAUCCUGAAGACCUGAAGUGCUCCAGAACGUAGCUCUAUUAAGACCAGAAAGAAACCUUUUGAUGUUUCAAGGGAUGACUGUUUGUAAGAUUAAAGCGUUUUGUUCAGAGAAUUUGAGAAUGUUGUUUAAAUUGUAUGAAUUAUAAAAAAAUAAAGUUGCAGAAAUUUGAUACAA